rnacentral:lncRNA from 1 species
CCCAUGAGUCAUUUUCUUUUCUUCUUUUGGUCGGCUGGAAACAGCCCUUUGAAGGCUGAUAUUUCAACUAAUUAAUACCAUCUUUCUUUUAAUUAUAUUACCAUGUGUCUCUAGUAUAUUAUUUUUUUACCCGGUUACCGGUACUUUUUCGUGCAAAUUUUAAAAAUCACCACAUAAUAUUCUAAAAAUUCUGAAACUUUACCCCAUGGUAAAAUAAUAUAUUAUAAUGCUCCACACAAAGUUUCAACUCAAUUUGUCAAUCAUAUUAAAAGUUAUGCGCGAUAG